UACGUAGGGUGCGAGCGUUGUCCGGAAUCAUUGGGCGUAAAGCGCGUGUAGGCGGUUCAGUAAGUCUGCUGUGAAAGUCCAGGGCUCAACCCUGGGAUGCCGGUGGAUACUGCUGAACUAGAGUGCGGAAGAGGCGAGUGGAAUUCCCGGUGUAGCGGUGAAAUGCGCAGAUAUCGGGAGGAACACCAAUUGCGAAGGCAGCUCGCUGGGACGUUACUGACGCUGAGACGCGAAAGCGUGGGGAGCAAACAGG
rnacentral:rRNA from 1 species